rfam:Schistosoma mattheei strain Denwood, Zambia genome assembly, scaffold: SMTD_scaffold0010508
GCACUACUGAGGAGUCCUACAAUAGGACGAAAUGGACAUCCCGUGC